rnacentral:rRNA from 1 species
GUGACCCAGCGACGCCGCGUGGAGGAUGAAGGCCUUGGGUUGUAACUCUUUUAGGAAGAGAACGUCCUUCGGGGACUUGACGGUACUCCUGAAUAAGCACGGCUAACUACGUGCCAGCAGCCGCGGUAAUACGUAGGUGGCAAGCGCUGUCCGGAUUUACUGGGCGUAAAGCGUGUGUAGGCGGACCUUUAAGUAGAAAGUGAAAGGUAGGAGCUCAACUCCUACAUUGCUCUCUAUACUGGAGGUCUUGAGUGUCGGAGAGGAAGAUGGAACUGCACGUGUAGCGGUGAAAUGCGUUGAGAUGUGCAGGAACACCAAUGGCGAAGGCAAUCUUCUGGACGAAAACUGACGCUGAGACACGAAAGCCAAGGUAGCAAACAGGAUUAGACACCCUGGUAGUCUUGGCCCUAAACUAUGUUCACUAGGUGUCGGGGGUUUCCCUCGGUGCCGCAGCUAACGCAUUAAGUGAACCGCCUGGGGACUACGGCCGCAAGGUUGAAACUCAAAGGAAUUGGCGGGGGCCCGCACAAGCGGUGGAGCAUGUGGCUUAAUUCGAUGCAACGCGAAGAACCUUACCAGGGCUUGACAUGCUACUGCAAGCUGCCGAAAAGCAGUCGCCUUCGAGGGUGUAGCACAGGUGGUGCAUGGCUGUCGUCAGCUCGUGUUGUGAAAUGUUGGGUUAAGUCCCGCAACGAGCGCAACCCUCAUGUUUUGUUACCAGCGGGUCAUGCCGGGAACUCGAAACAAACUGCCUCUGUAAGGAGGAGGAAGGUGGGGAUGACGUCAAGUCAUCAUGCCCCUUACGCCCUGGGCUGCACACAUGCUACAAUGGCCGGUACAAUGGGGUGCGAAACCGCGAGGUGGAGCCAAUCUCAAAAAGCCGGUCUCAGUUCGGAUUGGAGUCUGCAACUCGACUCCAUGAAGUUGGAAUCGCUAGUAACCGCAGGUCAGCAAUACCGCGGUGAAUACGUUCCCGGG